AUACGGAGGAUCCGAGCGUUAUCCGGAUUUAUUGGGCUUAAAGGGUGCGCAGGCGGCCAUUUAAGUCAGCGGUUAAAUCGUGGGGCUCAACCCCAUUCUGCCGUUGAUACUGGGUGGCUUGAUUGCGGUCGAGGUUGGCGGAAUUCGUUGUGUAGCGGGGAAAUGCAUAGAUAUGAUGAAGAACACCGAUUGCGUAGGCAGCUGACCAGACCGCAAAUGACGCUCAUGCACGAAAGUGCGGGGAUCGAACAGGAUUAGAUACCCUGGUAGUCCGCACAGUAAACGAUGAAUACUUGUUUUCGGCGAUAUAAUGUCGGAGGCAAAGCGAAAGCGAUAAGUAUUCCACCUGGGGAGUACGCCGGCAACGGUGAAACUCAAAUGAAUUGACGGGG
rnacentral:rRNA from 1 species